AAAAAAAGACUAGUCAAAAUGAUAAUUAAUGGAUAAAUAUAUUGCCUUUUUAAAAUUAUUUGGUGACAUAAUUUACUUUAUAUUUAUCUUUUUGUAUAAAUAAUACCAAGAAUAUAAAAUCACACUUUUCAAGAGAAGCACAUCACAAGAUUGUUUAAGACUCAAAAACCAUGAAAAUACAGGCAUCCUUGAUACUCAUGUUCAUCUUCUCUUUCUUUGCUUUACAUCAGUGUGCAAAGAUGAGUGUUAAAGGAAUAGAGGAUUCAAACAUAGUCAUAACAUCAAAUUGUGUUCAGGCUGGGUGUUUUCAUAUAUUUAAAAAAGAUUGUUGGUGCUGUCCAGGACCAGAUCGCAAAUGUUGGAAAGACAAAGCUUCGUGUGAUGCUAUAUGUCCUCGUCCUCCAAAAUAAUGUAAUAAAUCUUAAUGUAUUAGAAAUUGUUUUUCAGUGACGCAUAUUAAAGUAUUCAAUAAUAAAAAAUAAAUUAGUUUUACCUA